CACUCUUGAUAUGUGAUAUCUUCAGUUGAUGCGAGAUUUGUUUGGAGCUUCCCUAGAGAAAUAUGAGGAAACUAUGAUAUUUUAAUAUGUGCAUGGAAUAAAAUUUGAUUCCUAUUUUCAUGUAUGUCUGCAAAAUAUCAUCAGAAUGAGGAAAUAUCAGGCUUAUUUUUGAGGCAUUGGGGUACUGAUUUGAUUUGACUGGAACUUGGAAUCACUUGGAAAUUGUGGGUGAGAAGAAGAAAGACCAAUGAAGAAGGAACCAUCCAGGCCAGGAUAGAGGUCAAAGAGGAGAAAAGUGACAGAAAGAAAGUCACCAAUUUUCCCUUGACUUUGGACAGCUCUGCUUCCCUCUGAUGAAGCCCAGUUGUGCAAUUUUCUUUCCCUCAAUUAAAGGGAAAAAAUACAGAGUACUGAAAGGCCAA
ensembl:lncRNA